rnacentral:lncRNA from 1 species
CCUAGACUCCGCCCCUUGCCUGUCCCAGGUCUCCACCCUCAGCAGCACUUUUCUGCUCCCUAAGUGUCUCUGGCAUCCAUGUCAUUUGUCCUUACCUCUGAUGCUCACAGGCAUGGGACACAUACCUUCCCUGCACAACCAUGCCGUCUUUCAGCUGGAGUCAGGUCACAGUGAUAGGCCAGACUCCUGUGCUGGUUAUGAGGCCACCCAGGACAAGGCAGUGGCUGCUGGACAUGACCUGGAGCUUGGGGAGCCAGAAUCUCCAUCAUCAGGUCCAAGGACUUGCAGGCCUGCACCUCCUAAAUGGAAUAAAGAGUUCUUCUGGCAAAGAUAUACAAUGAAACAAGCUACAUGAUUAUAAAGGCCUUGUUCCUUUGGAUAAGCUUAUACAGCCUAGAAGGGCUUCUCUGAGCCAGUAGGGUAGUGAGCUCUGGGUGGCCCACGCUGUCUCUGAGGAGGCCUAGGCCUGGGAAGGAGCCAGAAACCUGGAAGCUCUUCAUGAACUGCUCCUCUCAGAUCAGAAGCCUGUUUAGGCUGCUCUGAGAUGAGGGAAAACAGGCU